UACGUAGGGGGCUAGCGUUGUCCGGAUUUAUUGGGCGUAAAGAGCGUGUAGGCGGCCAGGUAGGUCUGGUGUGAAAACUCGAGGCUUAACCUCGAGAUGUCAUCGGAAACCAUCUGGCUAGAGUCCGGAAGAGGAGAGUGGAAUUCCUGGUGUAGCGGUGAAAUGCGCAGAUAUCAGGAAGAACACCAAUGGCGAAAGCAAUCCCCUGGGCCUGCACUGACGCUCAUGCACGAAAGCGUGGGGAGCAAACAGG
rnacentral:rRNA from 1 species